GACGAACGCUGGCGGCGUGCCUAAUACAUGCAAGUCGAGCGAAUCACUAGGAGCUUGCUCCUGGUGAUUAGCGGCGGACGGGUGAGUAACACGUGGGCAACCUGCCUGUAAGACUGGGAUAACACCGGGAAACCGGUGCUAAUACCGGAUAAUCCUUUUCCUCUCAUGAGGGAAAGCUGAAAGUCGGUUUCGGCUGACACUUACAGAUGGGCCCGCGGCGCAUUAGCUAGUUGGUGAGGUAACGGCUCACCAAGGCGACGAUGCGUAGCCGACCUGGGAGGGUGAUCGGCCACACUGGGACUGAGACACGGCCCAGACUCCUACGGGAGGCAGCAGUAGGGAAUCUUCCACAAUGGACGAAAGUCUGAUGGAGCAACGCCGCGUGAGCGAUGAAGGCCUUCGGGUCGUAAAGCUCUGUUGUUAGGGAAGAACAAGUACCGGAGUAACUGCCGGUACCUUGACGGUACCUAACCAGAAAGCCACGGCUAACUACGUGCCAGCAGCCGCGGUAACAC
rnacentral:rRNA from 1 species